ACAUGGUGCUACAUGCAGAGAAGAAGGAUAAAGUGUCAGAAAGGGAGAGAGAGUGAGAGGAGGUGCCAUGUUUCACGGAGUGUAAGGGAGGACUUCUCUGAAGCUAAACUUCAAAGUGAGAUCUGAAGACAGCAAGGAGACAUCUGGAUCCCAGGGUUCAAUCAAGAAAUUCAAGAAAAUGAAGUGAAUCCUGCAAAGGAGGCCAAGAACCAGCCCAUGAAGUUGAGAACCAAGAGAUGGUGGUCUUGGACAUCAAAAGAAGAGAGGCCACAGAGAAGAAGGAGUGAUCUGACCACUGCAUCGAAUGCUGCUGGGAGGUGGAGGAGGAUGAGCACUGAGAAGUGACUGCCAUGCAUCAGUUUGCAGCAUGAUAACCAUUGGUGGCUCUGACGGGAGUGGAGUGAUGGGGCAGAAACCUAACUGAAUGAGUUUAAGAAAUAAGGCAUAGCACCCAUCACACUGACUGAGUCAUCCGGAAAAUGUGAGAAAUCACUUAAUAAAGAGCUGCCCUGGGGAAAUGGACAGCUGGAUGCAGAAAGACACAUGGACGCACAUG
rnacentral:lncRNA from 1 species